UCAGAUGGCCGGAUGGCCGCUCCCGUUUUACGGGGGAGGAAAGUCCGGGCUCCACGAAAACACGGCGCCGGGUAAUGCCCGGCGGGGGCGACCCCAGGGAAAGUGCCACAGAAAGCAAACCGCCAUCCGCUUGGAUGGUAAGGGUGAAAGGGUGCGGUAAGAGCGCACCGCGCGG
rnacentral:RNase_P_RNA from 1 species